rnacentral:rRNA from 1 species
ACCCGCUGAACUUAAGCAUAUCAAUAAGCGGAGGAAAAGAAACUAACAAGGAUUCCCCUAGUAAUGGCGAGUGAAGCGGGAAGAGCUCAAAUUUGAAAUCUGGUAGCCUUCGGUUGCCCGAGUUGUAAUCUAGAGAAGUGUUUUCCGUGCCGGCCCAUGUACAAGUCCCUUGGAACAGGGCGUCAUAGAGGGUGAGAAUCCCGUCCUUGACAUGGACCCCCGGUGCUUUGUGAUACACUUUCAACGAGUCGAGUUGUUUGGGAAUGCAGCUCAAAAUGGGUGGUGAAUUCCAUCUAAAGCUAAAUAUUGGCGAGAGACCGAUAGCGAACAAGUACCGUGAGGGAAAGAUGAAAAGCACUUUGGAAAGAGAGUUAAACAGUACGUGAAAUUGUUGAAAGGGAAACGAUUGAAGUCAGUCAUGCUCUUGGGACUUACCUCCCUUGAGUGGGGUCAACAUCAGUUUUGAUCGAUGGAUAAAGGCACUAGGAAGGUAGCACUCUCGGGUGAACUUAUAGCCUAGCGUCAUAUACAUUGAUUGGGACUGAGGAACGCAGCAUGCCUUUUGGCCGGGAUUCGUCCACGUACAUGCUUAGGAUGUUGACAUAAUGGCUUU